GGUUAUGAUGGAGGGUUUUAAUCCAGAGUUUUUAUUCUGGCCCGCAGGCCUCUGAAUCCAGCAACAGCUCCAACAGAACUCCUGUUCAGGACCGCAUGGUUUGCUCGCCCUUUUACCUGGGGGAGUGAAGGGGUAAGGAAGCUCACCAAUCAGUGCCACCAGCGGUGCCACCAGCAGCGGCUCAGCCUCCCGCCCAUGUACACGGACAGCCGGUGGCACUGUGGGGCUACAGGCAGCCCUGCGGGAUGGCAGCGCUCGGUGCCAGCAACAGGAUUUCACAGCUGCCGCGGCCAAGUUCCCCUUGGCACUGGAGGGGCUGGCCUGGCACUCCCUGGGGCAGGAAUAGCAAAGAGAACCAUCAGCGCCAACCUGGAACACCUACGGUUGAAGAGAAAUCCUGAGUUGCAAUUUCACCUGAAACCUGAAAAUUAAGAGGUCUGAGGACUUUCAAAGCCAGUGUCUGUUUCUCAGAUUAAAGAAAAAAGCAAAACCAAGAGCCUUUUGGUGCUCUACAGGAAUAUGGUUGGUGAUGAAAAUAGAGGACUUGCGAGCUGGGCUCUCUGGACUUUCUAAGAGUGGAGAGAGUCUCUAAGAGAGAGACUCCAACCUCUCUAACCUCUAAGAGAGGUUUUGCCUCCACUCUGACCCCAGUUCCUUCAGCCUGGCACUUGACACCCUGAGGAAGGGAUCAACUACACUUGUUUUAGCACUAUUCUGUCAAACUUAAUUCAGUUUGCAGAUCACAAAAGAGAGAAUAUAAAAAGAAAAAAGCCUUUGUCAAAUAAUUUUGGCUUUCCUAUUUACAAGCAAAUAUUCUAUUCCUAAUAUAUUUUUCUACAAUACUGAAGUAAUUUUUUAAGCAAUAAAUAUUAUAGCAGUCAGUGAGUAAAAUGAUAAAGUGCCAUCCUUUUUAAGUGCAUUUUU